rnacentral:rRNA from 1 species
GAGUUUGAUCCUGGCUCAGAACGAACGCUGGCGGCAGGCCUAACACAUGCAAGUCGAGCGCACUCUUCGGAGUGAGCGGCGGACGGGUUAGUAACGCGUGGGAAUAUACCCUUUUCUACGGAAUAGCCUCGGGAAACUGAGAGUAAUACCGUAUACGCCCUUCGGGGGAAAGAUUUAUCGGUGAAGGAUUAGCCCGCGUAAGAUUAGAUAGUUGGUGGGGUAAUGGCCUACCAAGUCUACGAUCUUUAGCUGGUUUGAGAGGAUGAUCAGCAACACUGGGACUGAGACACGGCCCAGACUCCUACGGGAGGCAGCAGUGGGGAAUCUUAGACAAUGGGCGCAAGCCUGAUCUAGCCAUGCCGCGUGAGUGACGAAGGCCUUAGGGUCGUAAAGCUCUUUCGCCAGAGAUGAUAAUGACAGUAUCUGGUAAAGAAACCCCGGCUAACUCCGUGCCAGCAGCCGCGGUAAUA